rnacentral:rRNA from 1 species
GACGAACGCUGGCGGCGUGCUUAACACAUGCAAGUCGAGCGGUAAGGCCCUUUCGGGGGUACACGAGCGGCGAACGGGUGAGUAACACGUGGGUGACCUGCCCUCAGCUCUGGGAUAAGCCUGGGAAACCGGGUCUAAUACUGGAUAUGACUCCAUGACGCAUGUUGUGGGGUGGAAAGCCUUGUGCGGCUGAGCAUGGGCCCGCGGCCUAUCAGCUUGUUGGUGGGGUGAUGGCCUACCAAGGCGACGACGGGUAGCCGGCCUGAGAGGGCGACCGGCCACACUGGGACUGAGACACGGCCCAGACUCCUACGGGAGGCAGCAGUGGGGAAUCUUGCGCAAUGGGCGAAAGCCUGACGCAGCGACGCCGCGUGAGGGAUGACGGCCU